UCUCUGGUGACGGUGACGAUGUGAUGCUUCUAUUUCACAGGUUGAGUUGCAAGGCUCUGAGCAAACAGCCUGCUAGCCAUUCAAGGAAGGUCACAAAUCACAGAUGCAAAGAGGCUACUCAGAUGGCAAGCUGGGAGGGACAAAGAAAAUGGUCUCAUCAAAGUCCUAUGGCAACUAGGCACCAUCAAGACAACAUGUGGUAUAGCUCACUCAAGAUGACCAUUGGGAAUAAGAAAGAGAAACAGCAGACUCGGGCCUGGGAGGCAGAUCUGGAUCUAGAAAUCAGAGACGGAAGAAGUUUGAUUCAGCUCCUGGCCUUGGAGAAGCAAGCUUUCACUAGUCUUAUAGCGGCAAGUCCAUAGCUUGCAAGGAACUAAAUUCACCCAACAAACACGUGAGCUUGGAAGAAGACCUCACCCUCCGAUGAGACCUUCAGCCCCAGCCAACACCUUGACUGCAGCCUUGUGGGCCCCUGAGCAGAGAACCCAGUCAAGCUGUAUCAGACUCUUGACCCAUGGGAAAUAUGAGAUAAUAAAUGGGUGUUGUUUAAAACCUCUAAA